CCCGCUUCCCCCUCCUGCUCCAAGGGCCUCCUGCAUGAGGGCGCGGUAGAGACCCGGACCCGCGCCGUGCUCCUGCCGUUUCGCUGCGCUCCGCCCGGGCCCGGCUCAGCCAGGCCCCGCGGUGAGCCAUGAUUCGCCUCGGGGCUCCCCAGACGCUGGUGCUGCUGACGCUGCUCGUCGCCGCUGUCCUUCGGUGUCAGGGCCAGGAUGUCCCAUGAAUUCCAGACGGCAGGGCGCUGGUGGAGGAGACUAGUCCCUGCUAUUCUUCCUCUGCAGUCUUGGAGGAGGCCAGGCCUGGACUGGCCAAUCUUAGCCCUAGCCAGAGGAGGCUGGCAGCUGUGUGCAGGAUGGGCAGAGGUAUAAUGAUAAGGAUGUGUGGAAGCCGGAGCCCUGCCGGAUCUGUGUCUGUGACACUGGGACUGUCCUCUGCGACGACAUAAUCUGUGAAGACGUGAAAGACUGCCUCAGCCCUGAGAUCCCCUUCGGAGAGUGCUGCCCCAUCUGCCCAACUGACCUCGCCACUGCCAGUGGGCAACCAGGACCAAAGGGACAGAAAGGAGAACCUGGAGACAUCAAGGAUAUUGUAGGACCCAAAGGACCUCCUGGGCCUCAGGGACCUGCAGGGGAACAAGGACCCAGAGGGGAUCGUGGUGACAAAGGUGAAAAAGGUGCCCCUGGACCUCGUGGCAGAGAUGGAGAACCUGGGACCCCUGGAAAUCCUGGCCCCCCUGGUCCUCCCGGCCCCCCUGGUCCCCCUGGU
rnacentral:lncRNA from 1 species